AUGACUAUUAUUAACAUGACUUAUCCCAUGUCCUCGGGAACAAAAGUAACUACUCACAAAACAUAAUCAUAAUCAUGAUCAGAGGUGUAAUGAAUAGCAUCAAGGAUCUGAACAUAAACUCUUCCACCAAGUAAUCCAACUAGCAUCAACUACAAAGAGUAAUCAACACUACUAGCAACCUUACAAGUACCAAUCGGAGUAGCGAGACGAAGAUUGGUUACAAGAUAUGAACUCGGGAUUGGAGAGGAGAUGGUGCUGAUGAAGAUGUUGAUGAAGAUGCCUCCCCUCUGACGGGAGGAGUGUUGGUGAUGAUGAUGGCGACGAUCUCCCCCUCCGGGAGGGAAGUUUCCCCGGCGGGAUUGUCCUGCCGGAGCUCUAGAUUGGAUCUGCUCAAGUUCUGCCUCGUGGCGGCGGCGAAACCACGAAAAAGCUCCACCUUUGAUUUUUUCUGGACCAGGACGCUUCAUAUAGCAAAAGAGGGGGGCUAGUGGGCCGUCAGGGAGCCCACAAGCCCCCACUCUGCCACCAGGGGGUGGCGGUGUCAGGGCUUGUGGCGCCCUAGCAGCCCCCCUCCGGUAGUUCUUUCGCCCAGUAUUUUUUAUAUAAUCCAGAAAAAAUCCACGUAACUUUUCAGGGCAUUUGGAGAUGUGCAGAAUAGUGGACUAGGAUUUGCUCCUUUUCCAGUCCAGAGUUACAGCUGCAUGAAUUCUCCCUCUUCAAACAAACCUUGUAAAAUAAGAGAGAAAAGGCAUAAAUAUGGUACCACAAGUAAUAUAACAGCCCAAAAAGCAAUAAAUAUCAACAUGAAAGCAUGAUGCAAAAUGGACGUAUCAACUCCCCCAAGCUUAGAC
rnacentral:lncRNA from 1 species